rnacentral:misc_RNA from 1 species
AAGUCGUAACAAGGUCUCCGUAGGUGAACCUGCGGAGGGAUCAUUACCGAGUGAGGGCCUCCGGGUCCGACCUCCAACCCUCUGUCAAUCGAAACCAUGUUGCCUCGGGGGCGACCCGGCGCUCGCGCGGCGGGGCCCCCGGUGGACCAUUCAAUAACUCUCGCGUCCUUGCGUCGGAGUCGAAAGCAAAUCAAUCAAAACUUUUAACAACGGAUCUCUUGGUUCUG